GUAAACAAUUACUUGUGUUAUUUACUGCACUUACUUUUAAGUUUUGCAUAAUUCUUGUCUGCGCAGAAUUGGAUGUCAUAACAACCCUUGUGACAUCGAAAGUCUGAUAACUAGAAUUUCAAAAAGCACUUUGGAAUUUUGCUUAUUUUCUUAAAAAAAUAUUAUUUUCGAAAAAACUGAGAGCAUUUUAAAGAGAUCCUCUUAAAUACAAAUUGAUAACAAUCAAUUUCUCUAAAUACGAUAAAUAAA
rnacentral:lncRNA from 1 species